UACGUAGGGUGCAAGCGUUGUCCGGAAUUACUGGGCGUAAAGAGCUCGUAGGCGGUUUGUCGCGUCGUCUGUGAAAACUCGAGGCUCAACCUCGAGCUUGCAGGCGAUACGGGCAGACUUGAGUACUGCAGGGGAGACUGGAAUUCCUGGUGUAGCGGUGAAAUGCGCAGAUAUCAGGAGGAACACCGGUGGCGAAGGCGGGUCUCUGGGCAGUAACUGACGCUGAGGAGCGAAAGCGUGGGUAGCGAACCGG
rnacentral:rRNA from 1 species